rnacentral:rRNA from 1 species
UACGUAGGUGGCAAGCGUUUAUCCGGAAUUACUGGGCGUAAAGCGCGCGUAGGUGGUUUUGCAAGUCGAGUGUGAAAGCCCCGGGCUCAACCUGGGAACUGCAUUCGAGACUGCAUUACUCGAGUAUGGGAGAGGGCAGUGGAAUUUCCGGUGUAGCGGUGAAAUGCGUAGAUAUUGGGAGGAACACCAGUGGCGAAGGCGGCCUCACGUGACCGGUACUGACGCUGAUGCGCGAAAGCGUGGGGAGCAAACGGG